rnacentral:rRNA from 1 species
GACGAACGCUGGCGGCGUGCCUAAUACAUGCAAGUCGAACGCUGAAGGAGGAGCUUGCUCUUCUGGAUGAGUUGCGAACGGGUGAGUAACGCGUAGGUAACCUGCCUGGUAGCGGGGGAUAACUAUUGGAAACGAUAGCUAAUACCGCAUAACAGUAGAUGUUGCAUGACAUUUGCUUAAAGGGUGCAAUUGCACCACUACCAGAUGGACCUGCGUUGUAUUAGCUAGUUGGUGGGGUAACGGCUCACCAAGGCGACGAUACAUAGCCGACCUGAGAGGGUGAUCGGCCACACUGGGACUGAGACACGGCCCAGACUCCUACGGGAGGCAGCAGUAGGGAAGCUUCGGCAAUGGACGGAAGUCUGACCGAGCAACGCCGCGUGAGUGAAGAAGGGUGUCGGAUCGUAAAGCUCUGUUGUAAGAGAAGAACGAGUGUGAGAGUGGAAAGUUCACACUGUGACGGUAUCUUACCAGAAAGGGACGGCUAACUACGUG